UCCUCAUGGCCCUUAUGGGUAGGGCUUCACGACGUCAUACAAUGGUCGGUACAGAGGGUUGCCAAGCCGCGAGGUGGGAGCCAAUCCCAGAAAGCCGAUCGUAGUCCGGAUUGUUCUCUGCAACUCGAGAGCAUGAAGUCGGAAUCGCUAGUAAUCGCGGAUCAGCAUGUCGCGGUGAAUACGUUCCCGGGUCUU
rnacentral:rRNA from 1 species